rnacentral:rRNA from 1 species
AAAACAUGUCCUUUUGUUAUUUAUAUAAGGUCUGGCCUGCCCAAUGAUGUUUUUAAUGGCCGCGGUAUUUUAACCGUGCUAAGGUAGCAUAAUCAUUUGUCUUUUAAUUAAGGGCUGGAAUGAAAGGUUGGACGAGAUAUUGACUUUCUUUUAUUUAAUUUUUGAAUUUGAUUUUUAAGUGAAAAAGCUUAGAUUUUUUUGUUGGACGAGAAGACCCUAUAGAUCUUUAUAUUUUUUGUAUUUGUAAUAUUUAGGGAUUGAUUAUUUAUGAUUAUUAAGGAUAUUUGAUUGGGGUGAUUGCAGAAUUAAAAAAACUUCUGUUAUUUUUUCAUUAAUUAGUGUUUUUAUGAUCCGUUUAUAUUGAUUAUAAGAUUAAGUUACCUUAGGGAUAACAGCGUAAUUUCUACGGAGAGUCCAUAUUGAUGUAGGAGUUUGCGACCUCGAUGUUGGAUUAAAAUUAGUCUUGAAUGUAGCAGUUUGAUGACUAGGUCUGUUCGACCUUUAAUUUUUUACAUGAUCUGAGUUCAAAACCGGAGA